rnacentral:rRNA from 1 species
CCUGAGARACCCGAAAGAUCGAAUGAGGAGAUUCAUCGUCAGCAUAAGUGAUAUAUGUAUGAAUUAUGAUAUGGGCUUAUUUGAAUUUAUUUAAAUAAUUCUCAUACAUGUUUGUAUUAUUUUAUUGUCAUUUAUUGCCGGCGUGCACUUCUCCUCUAGUAGAACGUUGCGACCCGUUGAGUGUUGGUCUACGGCUCGGCUGGUUUUGUCUUUAAUAUCAUUUAACGAUGUUUUAUAUUAAAAUCCACUGAUGCUUCCUGACUGACUGCUCGGCGGUAUUCAUAUGGUAUUGAGUCGCAAUUAUUAAAUAUAUGCGUCAAAUCCAAAACAAGCGUGGUUCAUAUAUAUUGUAUACGGACUUAGUUGCCGUCACUUGUAUUGGCCCGCUGUUAGUUUUGGGCAAUUAUUUGACUGGCUCAUAAAUAAUACCGGUCAGCGACGAUACUGCUUUGGGUACUUUCAGGACCCGUCUUGAAACACGGACCAAGGAGUCUAACAUGUACGCAAGUCAUUGGAAUAAUAUUUGAUUAUAUAAAUCUAAAGGCAAAAUGAAAGUAAAGGUUAUCCUUGUGAUAACUAAGGGAGGAUGAAUUAUAUUGUGGUGUGAUUUCGCACUCCCGGGGCGUCUCAUUCUCAUUUAUGAGAAGAGGCGCACCCAG